rnacentral:rRNA from 1 species
GAACGGUAGAGGGGGCAACCCCUUGAGAGUGGCGAACGGGUGAGUAAUGUAUCGGAACGUGCCCAGUCGUGGGGGAUAACGUAGUGAAAAUUACGCUAAUACCGCAUACGAUCUAUGGAUGAAAGCGGGGGAUCGCAAGACCUCGCGCGAUUGGAGCGGCCGAUAUCAGAUUAGGUAGUUGGUGGGGUAAAGGCUCACCAAGCCAACGAUCUGUAGCUGGUCUGAGAGGACGACCAGCCACACUGGAACUGAGACACGGUCCAGACUCCUACGGGAGGCAGCAGUGGGGAAUUUUGGACAAUGGACGCAAGUCUGAUCCAGCCAUUCCGCGUGCAGGACGAAGGCCUUCGGGUUGUAAACUGCUUUUGUACGGAACGAAAAAGCUCUUAUUAAUACUAGGAGUCCAUGACGGUACCGUAAGAAUAAGCACCGGCUAACUACGUGCCAGCAGCCGCGGUAAUACGUAGGGUGCAAGCGUUAAUCGGAAUUACUGGGCGUAAAGCGUGCGCAGGCGGUUAUAUAAGACAGAUGUGAAAUCCCCGAGCUUAACUUGGGAACUGCAUUUGUGACUGUAUAGCUAGAGUACGGCAGAGGGGGAUGGAAUUCCGCGUGUAGCAGUGAAAUGCGUA